rnacentral:tRNA from 2 species
GGAGCUGUAGUUCAGUGGUAGAAUAUCGGAUUCCAAAAAACAGGAAUUAUCCGCCGGUCGCAGGUUCAAUCCCUGUCAGCUUCA